UACGAAGGGGGCUAGCGUUGCUCGGAAUCACUGGGCGUAAAGGGCGCGUAGGCGGCGCGGGCAGUCAACGGUGAAAGCUUGGGGCUCAACCCCGAGUCGGCCGUCGAUACUCCCGUGCUUGAGCACGGUAGAGGCAGGUGGAAUUCCGGGUGUAGCGGUGGAAUGCGUAGAGAUCCGGAAGAACACCGGUGGCGAAGGCGGCCUGCUGGGCAGUAGCUGACGCUGAGGUGCGAAAGCGUGGGGAGCAAACAGG
rnacentral:rRNA from 1 species